rnacentral:lncRNA from 1 species
UUAUCUUUUCUCUGCAAAAAAAAAACACAAAAACACCAAUAUCACACCACCUAAAAGUCAAGAGAACGUCUCAGAAGCAGAUUCUAAAAUAAAGCAUUCUAAUUCCUGAAGCAACAAAUUCCACUAAACAUACACUAUGAUUCCAUCACUUAAUUAGCCUUGUGUAUACACCACCACAUAAAUACGACAAAGAUCAAUCAAAUUCCGCACACCUCUCAGACAAAACUUUAUAGAAUCUGACAGAGUAGAAGUGAUUAUAUUCUUUCAUAAAUGUAUUGGAAAAAUCUUUGACCAACAUCAUAGUUGCAUAACCAAACACAUGGGAUUGUUUUUUGGUUCAUUAACUAAUUGACAAACCGUGAUGAUCAAAUUCUUGAUGAAAUCUUAAUAACUCUACAACUUCUGAGAGGAUGAUAAAUAAAUGUGUAUAUGUGCAAGGAUGAUGUUUAUCAAAGACUUUGUUUGUCGAGAUAUACCUAUUAAUUUAGCUAGUACACUUUUCUGUGUCCAUGUUAAUAUUUUUUUCUAAUGAUCAGCGUAAUAAUGUCAAAAAAAAGAUCAGCGUAAAAACGCGUUUCUAUUAUCAAAAUGUCUUGCUAACUUUGUAGUUAAUGAUAUAACGUUAAUGUAUUGUAUUUUGUACGUUGGUAAUAUAACUUUUCCUAGUGAAAUUAAAUUGGACUGACCUUUAUUCAAAUCAAUUAUAUUGCUGCCACAUAAGCAAAAUUAAGAUGUAAGAAACCGACACAUCAGCAAGCUUGUAUUGUAAAUAUUAUAAAAUAGAAGGUUACAAUUUUUUAAUGAUCCUCAAAUAAUAUAUAGGAGAUGAUGGUUAUAUGUUCUAAUUUUCCUUCUUUCUU